UACAUGGGGUGCAAACGUUGCUCGGAAUUAUUGGGCGUAAAGCGCACGUAGGCGGUUUGUUAAGUCGGAUGUGAAAUCCCUCGGCUCAACUGAGGAAGUGCAUCAGAAACUGGCAGGCUUGAGUACUAAAGAGGGUCGCGGAAUUCCCGGUGUAGAGGUGAAAUUCGUAGAUAUCGGGAGGAACACCGGUGGCGAAGGCGGCGACCUGGGUAGAUACUGACGCUGAGGUGCGAAAGCGUGGGGAGCAAACAGG
rnacentral:rRNA from 1 species